rnacentral:rRNA from 1 species
GUCCACGCUGUAAACGAUGAGUGCUAGAUAUCGGGAGAAAUUCUUUCGGUUUCGUAGCUAACGCAUUAAGCACUCCGCCUGGGGAGUACGGUCGCAAGAUUAAAACUCAAAGGAAUUGACGGGGGCUCGCACAAGCGGUGGAGCAUGCGGUUUAAUUCGAUGUCACGCGAAAAACCUUACCAACCCUUGACAUGGUGGUCGCGGGAAGCAGAGAUGCAUCCCUUCAGUUCGGCUGGACCACACACAGGUGUUGCAUGGCUGUCGU